rnacentral:rRNA from 1 species
GGGGAAUCUUAGACAAUGGGGGAAACCCUGAUCUAGCCAUGCCGCGUGAUCGAUGAAGGCCUUAGGGUUGUAAAGAUCUUUCAGGUGGGAAGAUAAUGACUGUACCACCAGAAGAAGCCCCGGCUAACUCCGUGCCAGCAGCCGCGGUAAUACGGAGGGGGCUAGCGUUAUUCGGAAUUACUGGGCGUAAAGCGCACGUAGGCGGACUGGAAAGUCAGAGGUGAAAUCCCAGGGCUCAACCUUGGAACUGCCUUUGAAACUCUCAGUCUUGAGGUCGAGAGAGGUGAGUGGAAUUCCGAGUGUAGAGGUGAAAUUCGUAGAUAUUCGGAGGAACACCAGUGGCGAAGGCGGCUCACUGGCUCGAUACUGACGCUGAGGUGCGAAAGCGUGGGGAGCAAAC